AUGUGAGCUUCGAGGCAUACUAUACGCUGUUUUAAAAGUCACCAUCAAGAAUGAAGCUGCUGCUUGUUGGAGUGAUGGCCAUGCUUGGCGCGGCUAUGAUGGUCUCUGCCAACUAUAAAAUGCCGUUUUAUGGUCAACGAUAUAUUGGUAGUUACGGCGUCGGUGGAGGUUUUGGAAUCGGCGGCGGUGUGGGACAGGGGUUUGGUGGCAUUUUUGGAAUGCUCAUUUUCUUGUGUGUGUUCAUCCUGAUCAUUCAAGUCUUGUUUGGUGCUACUGGUGGUCUUGGCGGCGGAAUUGGCAAAGGCGGUGGUGGCGGCGGCGGUUGGGCCCGCGGCGGCGAUUAUUAUUAAAUACCACGGCGCUUGGAUAUAGUACAUUGCAGCAGUACCCAGGGAGAAACAAGUACGAACUGAUACCGACUAACGAGAUUGCCACUUGCAGUUGUUUUAAUGACUAUUUGUAUCUUAACGUAGUUGUAUUUUCUAUU